UCAGCAUUUGGGACCAAAACUUCUAAAACAUUAAUCAAACCCUGGGGACAAAAAAAGGAAAUUUAUCAAAUUGGCACAAUAAAUAGGAUAAUUGAUGAAAUAAAAUAAAUUAUAAAUGGAGAGAGGUUUAUACCUUUUGUUUAUCUGAAAUGAAUGUCCAACCUCCAUCAUUUGCAAUCCCAAGAUCUUCCACCAACAAGUUCAUAAACCACAAUCAAGAUUUAGUGUUCUCAGAUUCAACAAUGGCCCAAGGAACUGGCCACAUCCCAUUGUUAGGGUCAACACCAACUGCAGUUAAUAACUGACCCACAUAUGGCCCUUUGAGAAAACAACCAUCAAGCCCCACCAGUGGUCUACACCCCAAUUUAAAUCAUUUUUUUAGUGGCUGCAGACAUACAUAAAAUCUCAAAAAUCUGUCUAAUCCAUGCCCAUGCUCUGGUUCUGUUCUCUUCAAGAUAUAAGAACUCCCAGGCAUGACUCUUCUAAGCUCUGCAGCAUAGUCCAAAAUCAUUCCAUACUCCCCGGUCCUCAACACCCCCUUCAAUGUUUUUCAUUGCUUUUUUCUUAGCUCUGUAUGCUAGGCUCCUUGAUACCCCAAUAUCCAAAUCUUUAACUACUUUAGUAUGAAACUAAUCUAAUCCCCAUGUUGGAUUCAUCCGAAGAUCAUCUUCAUAUUUUUUAGGAAUCUAAUCUGCN
rnacentral:lncRNA from 1 species